rnacentral:rRNA from 1 species
UACGGAGGGUGCAAGCGUUAUCCGGAUUUAUUGGGUUUAAAGGGUCCGUAGGCGGGAUGAUAAGUCAGUGGUGAAAGCCCACAGCUCAACUGUGGAACUGCCAUUGAAACUGUCGUUCUUGAAUCUAGUUGAAGUGAACGGAAUGUAACAUGUAGCGGUGAAAUGCAUAGAUAUGUUACAGAACACCAAUUGCGAAGGCAGUUCACUAAACUAGUAUUGACGCUAAGGGACGAAAGCGUGGGUAGCGAACAGG